rnacentral:rRNA from 1 species
AGAGUUUGAUCCUGGCUCAGAGCGAACGCUGGCGGCGUGCUUAACACAUGCAAGUCGAACGCGCAGCAUUCUGUAGCAAUACAGGGUGUGGGCGCGUGGCGAACGGGUGCGUAACACGUGGAUAACCUUCCUUCAGGUGGGGAAUAACCCAGUGAAAACUGGGCUAAUACCGCAUAACAUGACGAUGGCACAUGCUGUUGUCUUCAAAGGCGCAAGUCGCCAGAAGAGGGAUCCGCGGCCGAUUAGCUUGUUGGCGAGGUAAUGGCUCACCAAGGCAAUGAUCGGUAGCCGGACUGAGAGGUUGGCCGGCCACACUGGAACUGAGACACGGUCCAGACUCCUACGGGAGGCAGCAGUGGGGAAUCUUGCACAAUGGACGAAAGUCUGAUGCAGCAACGCCGCGUGGGGGAUGAAGCUUCUCGGAGUGUAAACCCCUUUCGACCCGGAAGAAUGCCCGCAAGGGUUUGACGGUACGGGUAUAAGAAGCCCCGGCUAACUACGUGCCAGCAGCCGCGGUAAUACGUAGGGGGCCAGCGUUGCUCGGAAUUACUGGGCGUAAAGGGUCUGUAGGCGGUGCGGCAAGUCGAUAGUGAAAUCCCUAGGCUUAACCUAGGGGCUGCUAGCGAAACUGCCGUGCUAGAGUGUGAGAGAGGCGAGUGGAAUUACGGGUGUAGCGGUGAAAUGCGUAGAUAUCCGUAGGAACAUCCGAGGCGAAAGCGGCUCGCUGGAUCACAACUGACGCUGAGAGACGAAAGCUAGGGGAGCAAACAGGAUUAGAUACCCUGGUAGUC